rnacentral:pre_miRNA from 1 species
UAGCCAAGGAUGACUUGCCUAUUCUUGCACGACAUCCCACUCUAUUUUUGGAUGUUUUUGUUUGGUUUAGUAAGCAAGUUCGUCCUUGGGUA